rnacentral:rRNA from 1 species
GAAGCAGCCAUACAUUUAAAGAGUGCGUAAUAGCUCACUAGUCGAGAGAACCUGCGCCGAAAAUAAUCGGGGCUAAAACACACCACCGAAGCUACGGAUUUCCUGCUUAAGGUAGGAAGUGGUAGAGGAGCAUACUGCAAGGACGAAGCCUGAUUGAGAGAGAAGGUGGACGAAGCAGUAGAGAGAAUGCCGGAAUGAGUAGCGAGAUAUAUGUGAGAACCAUAUAGGCCGAAUAUCUAAGGUUUCCUGAGUGAAGCUAAUCUGCUCAGGGUAAGUCGGGACCUAAGGCGAGGACGAGAGUCGUAGUCGAUGGACAACUGGUAGAGAUUCCAGUACUAUGUAUAAUCAGAACUGUGGGGACGCAGGAGGAUAGAUGGACCGCGGAAAGGGAAGACGCGGCCAAGUACAAAGUCAAGUUAGGUAGGCAAAUCCGCCAAACGAUGAUGAAGUACGACGGGGACUGAAAGAAAGUAAGGAAGUCAUUGAACCACACUGCCGAGAAAAGCCGCUAUAGUGUUAUACAUACCCGUACCGUAAACCGACACAGGUAGAUGAGGAGAAAAUCCACAGGCCGACGGGAGAAGUGUUGUUAAGGAACUCGGCAAAAUGACCCCGUAACUUAGGGAGAAGGGGAGCCACGAGAGUGGUCACAGAAAAGAGGCUCAAGCAACUGUUUAGCAAAAACACAGGUCUCUGCGAAACCGAAAGGUGAAGUAUAGGGGCUGACACCUGCCCGGUGCUGGAAGGUUAAAAGGAGAGGUUAGCCGCAAGGCGAAGCUUUGAAUUCAAGCCCCAGUAAACGGCGGCCGUAACUAUAACGGUCCUAAGGUAGCGAAAUUCCUUGUCAGGUAAGUUCUGACCCGCACGAAAGGUGUAACGAUUUGAGCACUGUCUCGACAACACGCCCGGUGAAAUUGAAGAACCAGUGAAGAUACUGGUUACCCGCAACAGGACGGAAAGACCCCAUGGAGCUUUACUGCAGCUUAAUAUUGGGAUUCGGUAUUGUAUGUACAGGAUAGGAGGGAGACUAAGAAGCUAGCACGCCAGUGUUGGUGGAGUCGAUGGUGGGAUACCUCUCUUAUAAUACUGAAUUUCUAACCUACUUCCGUAAUCCGGAAGAGGGACAUUGUUAGGCGGGCAGUUUGACUGGGGCGGUCGCCUCCGAAAGAGUAACGGAGGCGCUCAAAGGUCUUCUCAGAAUGAUUGGAAACCAUUCAAAGAGUGUAAAGGCAAAAGAAGGCUUGACUGCGAGAGUGACAACUCGAGCAGGUACGAAAG